rnacentral:rRNA from 1 species
AGUGAACGCUGGCGGUAGGCCUAACACAUGCAAGUCAAACGGCAGCACAGUAAGAGCUUGCUCUUACGGGUGGCGAGUGGCGGACGGGUGAGGAAUACAUCGGAAUCUACUUUUUCGUGGGGGAUAACGUAGGGAAACUUACGCUAAUACCGCAUACGACCUACGGGUGAAAGCAGGGGGUCUUCGGACCUUGCGCGAUUGAAUGAGCCGAUGUCGGAUUAGCUAGUUGGCGGGGUAAAGGCCCACCAAGGCGACGAUCCGUAGCUGGUCUGAGAGGAUGAUCAGCCACACUGGAACUGAGACACGGUCCAGACUCCUACGGGAGGCAGCAGUGGGGAAUAUUGGACAAUGGGCGCAAGCCUGAUCCAGCCAUACCGCGUGGGUGAAGAAGGCCUUCGGGUUGUAAAGCCCUUUUGUUGGGAAAGAAAAGCUUCAUAUUAAUACCACGAUGUUCUGACGGUACCAAAAGAAUAAGCACCGGCUAACUUCGUG